CGCAAUCAUCUGGAUCAACAUUCACAUUGCACAAUCUCUAUAUCCUAAUUUAUUGUUAAUGUUUCCAUAGUCAGCUGGAUCCCCUCCAAAUCCAGAUCAGAUGGUGGACCUGCAUCUUGGCAUGACCACGACGGAAGCCUAAAUGUCAACGAAGACCAUGUCAACUAGACAAGCCAGACAGAUCCCCUGUGAGAACUUCGUUGACAGCCAUCGGCAAAGAUCCUCAGCAAAGACCACAAGAACCAGACAAGUCCUCUGCACAGACCCCUAUGGCUAGCUUCAACUCUAUGCCGGCGUGUUGUAUCUUGAUCUUCAAACUGAUGGAACCAUAUGAAAUAUUCUAGAUUAUACCAAUCCACAAUCUGACUUGUGUUGCUGCCUGAAUCACAUCACACCAUAUUCGUUCAUUGGCCAGAGAAGAACUGGUCCCUGACUGAGCCUGGUUUCUCCCAAGGUUUUUUUUUUCUUCUCCAUUUUUGUAACCUGAUGGAUUUUGGGUUCCUUACCCCUGUUGCCUUUGGCUUGCUAAGUUUGGGACACUUAAUAUUCAGCAUUAAUAUUGAUUUGAUUGCACUGACACUAUCAUAUGAGAACUGAACUGAGCUGGACGAUGACAUCACUGUUUUUUGCAGAGCUGCUUUAUAACAAAUUGAACUGAUUUCAUAAUUGAUUAACUUUAUACAGCUAUUGAACAGAACUGAAUUAAAACAUACUGACUUCAGCUGAACAAUGACACUAUUUCUUUUAGAGCUGCUUUACAGCAGAAUUGAACUGGAAUAAUUGAAUCAUUCUCCUGUUUAUACCUGUAAAGCUGCUUUGAAACAGUCUAUAAAGUGUUAAAUUAAAGGUGACUUGACUUUUGAAAUA